GACGAACGCUGGCGGCGUGCUUAACACAUGCAAGUCGAACGGUAAGGCCCUUCGGGGUACACGAGUGGCGAACGGGUGAGUAACACGUGGGUGAUCUGCCCUGCACUUCGGGAUAAGCCUGGGAAACUGGGUCUAAUACCGGAUAGGACUCCUGCCUGCAUGGGUGGGGGUGGAAAGCUUUUGCGGUGUGGGAUGGGCCCGCGGCCUAUCAGCUUGUUGGUGGGGUGAUGGCCUACCAAGGCGACGAAGGGUAGCCGGCCUGAGAGGGUGACCGGCCACACGGGGACUGAGAUACGGCCCAGACUCCUACGGGAGGCAGCAGUGGGGAAUAUUGCACAAUGGGCGCAAGCCUGAUGCAGCGACGCCGCGUGAGGGAUGACGGCCUUCGGGUCGUAAACCUCUUUCAGCACAGACGAAGCGCAAGUGACGGUAUGUGCAGAAGAAGGACCGGCCAACUACGUGCCAGCCGCCGCCGUAA
rnacentral:rRNA from 1 species